AAAUGUAAAAUGCCCCGCAGAAAACUUGCUCCACGCCCAUGCCAUCGUAAUGGAUCUCAUUCACAAAUUGUUGAGCGAAUAUAUUUUACAGACCCCUGUUUAUCCUGAAUGUACUGGACCGAACAACAUUAGAGCUUUUAGAUCUUGGACAGUUUUUGAAUAAAUUCAAAAGAAGAAUCGUUUUAUUGAAGCAGAAUUUUGAUUUAUAACCCAGAUUUUAAAGAGGAAGCUUCUCCAAAUAAUCGCAGAUAAAUGAAAAUGCUCCUUCAAGAACUGCCUGAAGCCUAUCGCAAUGUAAUGGAUAACAAACUGUCAUUCAGAAUCUUUUGAGCGAAUGCGUUCCAAUUUCCAGACCCAUGUUUAUCCUGAAUGUAGUGG